rnacentral:tRNA from 1 species
GCCCUGAUAGUAUAAACAUUACACUGGCCUUGUAAACCAGAAAUGAAAGUCAUUUUUCUCAGGACA